rnacentral:rRNA from 1 species
GAUGAACGCUGGCGGCGUGCCUAAUACAUGCAAGUCGAGCGAACGGACGAGAAGCUUUCUUCUCUGAUGUUAGCGGCGGACGGGUGAGUAACACGUGGAUAACCUACCUAUAAGACUGGGAUAACUUCGUGAAACCGGAGCUAAUACCGGAUAAUAUUUUGAACCGCAUGGUUCAAAAGUGAAAGACGGUCUUGCUGUCACUUAUAGAUGGAUCCGCGCUGCAUUAGCUAGUUGGUAAGGUAACGGCUUACCAAGGCAACGAUGCAUAGCCGACCUGAGAGGGUGAUCGGCCACACUGGAACUGAGACACGGUCCAAACUCCUACGGGAGGCAGCAGUAGGGAAUCUUCCGCAAUGGGCGAAAGCCUGACGGAGCAACGCCGCGUGAGUGAUGAAGGUCUUCGGAUCGUAAAACUCUGUUAUUAGGGAAGAACAUAUGUGUAAGUAACUGUGCACAUCUUGACGGUACCUAAUCAGAAAGCCACGGAUAACUACGUG